rnacentral:rRNA from 1 species
UACGGGGGGGGGCAAGCGUUGUUCGGAAUUACUGGGCGUAAAGGCUCGUAGGCGGCCAACUAAGUCAGACGUGAAAUCCCUCGGCUUAACCGGGGAACUGCGUCUGAUACUGGAUGGCUUGAGGUUGGGAGAGGGAUGCGGAAUUCCAGGUGUAGCGGUGAAAUGCGUAGAUAUCUGGAGGAACACCGGUGGCGAAGGCGGCAUCCUGGACCAAUUCUGACGCUGAGGAGCGAAAGCCAGGGGAGCAAAACGGG